CAUUUUUAAAAUUUACUUAUUGUGAGGGAGAGAAAGAGAGAGAGACAGUGAGCACAAGCAGGGGAGGGGAGGAGAGUGAGGGGCUUGAACUCAUAAACAGAUCAAAACCAAGAGUCAGACACUUAACUGACUGAGCCACCCAGGCACCCCAACACUUUGUUUUAAUAACAAAAUGAUACUACAGAUUUGGAAGAUUAGAGGAAAGACAGAAAACCUCCCCUCUCCUAAACUCCCCAUUCCCCUUCUCUUGCUGUAUUUUUCUCCUCAGUGAUUCUCACCUUCUAACAUACUAUAUAUUUUACUUUAUUUAUUAUGUUUUACCAUCUGACUGUCCUCACUAGAAUGUCAGCUUCAUGAGGACAUAUUUCUGUUUGACUUAUCCAUGCGGCUGGCACAUAGUAGGUACUCAUUAACUAUUUGUUCAGUAGUGAUGCUGACAGGAAAAGAAACAGAGAUGUUGGGGGGAAAAAGCCGGCAUGGGUAGGAGGAGAAGGUAGGAUUGGUCUAGAACAUUUGCUCUCAGGAGCUGAGGGGUGCGAGGCACCUGGGCAACUGAGGAUUAGAGGGAUAGGAGAAACCCAGGAACAUAGGGUUUGUAAACCACGGGAGCGAAAAGUGUCAAGGAGAAGGCCAUCAAAUGUUCCUUAAGGAGCAACGGCUUGAAAGAGAGCUCAGAGGAGGCUUGUGAGAAGAGACCAGCUGACUUGAUGAUGACAGAUCACUGGCGUCCUCUCUGCAAGGAGUUGUAGUUGAGAGCACAGGCAGAGACCAGACUUGUGUUGUUGGACGCUAUGGCCACACGUGAUGGCUGAGCACUUGAAACGAGGCGAGUCAAGUCGAGCUGUGCUCCAAGUGCAAGAAACCACACUGAACUAUGAAGAUUUAGAAAAGUUAGCAGGGAAAGAAAGAAUGCAGUAUGACUUACUAAUAAUUUUUAUCUUGAUCACAUGUUGAAAUGGCCUUUUCAUUUCAAAUAUAUUAGGUGAGGCUAGGGUGUAUUAGGUCAAAUAAGAUAUGUCAUUAAAAGGAGUUUCUGGGGUAUGUGGGUGGCUCAGCCGGUUGAGCAUCCGACUUUGGCUCAGGUCGUGAUCUCGCGUUUGUGGGUUUGAGCCCCACGUUGGGCUCUGUGUCAGCUCAGAGCUGGAGCCUGCUUUGGAUUCUGUGUCUCCCUCUCUCUGCCCCUCCCCUGUUUGCUCUCUCUCUCAAAAAUAAAUAAACAUUAAAAAAAAUUUUAAGAGAAAGAGUUUCAACUAUUUUUUUAAACAUUUUUUUAGUAUGAUUACUAGAUACUUUUCAACUACACAUGUGGUUCACAUUAUAUUUCUAUUGGAUAUUGUCAGGCUAGUCUGCCUAGGGUUAAAAUUCAGCAGCAUGUAUAAACUUAUCUGUCCUCCCUCCCUUCCCUCCUUCCUUCCUCCCUCCCUCCCUUCCUUCCUUUUCUUUCUCCCUCUCUCUCUCCCUCCCUCUCUCCCUCUCUCCCUCCAUCCCUCCUUCCCAUCCUCUCUCUCUCUUUCUCUUCCUCCCUUUAAAAAUGCUUUUUAGCAGCUACAUCAUUUUCUGAUGGACGCUUGAGUGGUUGAUCUUCCAUUCUCAGUAAAAAUAGAUGCCUUUUGUAAUAUCAAAUCAUCAAAUUGCUUUAGCGUUAAGUUGCCUAGAGCCAUAUUAAAGUCAGUGAUACGUAGUACAUUAGCUGUGCUGAGCUCUUAGCUUCCCUGAGAGAAAAAGAAAUGACAUAAAUGAGGUUUCUUCUACACUAAGCAGCAAUAAAUGAAAGCCUUUGAAGCAACCACCUACAUGGAGUCCUGGAAUUGUAAUUACCCAACCUCCAAUUUGGCAAGUAGAGAUUUUCUUACAAUAUAACCAACCCCCAAAUAAUGGUCCCUCCUGGUGGGAGGUAGAGAGACUGUGUGUCGCAUGGGUCCAAGACAAAGAUGUUACUGAUUUGGACACUCACACAGCUGCGUAAGAAGAAAAUUCCCAGUGUUCAUCUUGGCUGAGGUCUUGGUUCAUCUUGGAUGCUGUGAGGUCAGCCUUUCGGUUUUAUGUACCUGCUUGUCGUGCGAUGAGUGUGCUUACUUCU